rnacentral:tRNA from 1 species
GGAGGGGUGCGUGAGUGGUUGAAACGGGUGGUCUUGAAAACCACUAGGGGCGCAAGCUCCUCGGGGGUUCGAAUCCCUCCCCCUCCGCCA